UGAGCAAUCUGCCCUUCUCAUCGGAAUAAGCGUUGGAAACGACGUCUAAUGCCGAAUACGACCUCCUUUCGCAUGAUCGGAGGUGGAAAGCUCCGGCGGAGAAGGAUGAGCUCGCGGCCUAUCAGCUUGUUGGUGAGGUAACGGCUCACCAAGGCUUCGACGGGUAGCCGGCCUGAGAGGGCGACCGGCCACACGUGGGACUGAGAUACGGCCCAGACCUCCGUACGGGAGCA
rnacentral:rRNA from 1 species